rnacentral:rRNA from 1 species
AUUCCUUGGAAAUCCUGAACAGUUUCUGACCCCUCGUUUGUGGUGCUUGCCUCUGAUUGACCAUGGAUCACCAGUGAGUGGCGGACGGGUGAGUAACACGUAGGUAACCUGCCCCGGAGCGGGGGAUAACAUUUGGAAACAGAUGCUAAUACCGCAUAACAACAAAAGCCACAUGGCUUUUGUUUGAAAGAUGGCUUUGGCUAUCACUCUGGGAUGGACCUGCGGUGCAUUAGCUAGUUGGUAAGGUAACGGCUUACCAAGGCGAUGAUGCAUAGCCGAGUUGAGAGACUGAUCGGCCACAAUGGAACUGAGACACGGUCCAUACUCCUACGGGAGGCAGCAGUAGGGAAUCUUCCACAAUGGGCGCAAGCCUGAUGGAGCAACACCGCGUGAGUGAAGAAGGGUUUCGGCUCGUAAAGCUCUGUUGUUGGAGAAGAACGUGCGUGAGAGUAACUGUUCACGCAGUGACGGUAUCCAACCAGAAAGUCACGGCUAACUACGUGCCAGCAGCCGCGGUAAUACGUAGGUGGCAAGCGUUAUCCGGAUUUAUUGGGCGUAAAGCGAGCGCAGGCGGUUGCUUAGGUCUGAUGUGAAAGCCUUCGGCUUAACCGAAGAAGUGCAUCGGAAACCGGGCGACUUGAGUGCAGAAGAGGACAGUGGAACUCCAUGUGUAGCGGUGGAAUGCGUAGAUAUAUGGAAGAACACCAGUGGCGAAGGCGGCUGUCUGGUCUGCAACUGACGCUGAGGCUCGAAAGCAUGGGUAGCGAACAGGAUUAGAUACCCUGGUAGUCCAUGCCGUAAACGAUGAGUGCUAGGUGUUGGAGGGUUUCCGCCCUUCAGUGCCGGAGCUAACGCAUUAAGCACUCCGCCUGGGGAGUACGACCGCAAGGUUGAAACUCAAAGGAAUUGACGGGGGCCCGCACAAGCGGUGGAGCAUGUGGUUUAAUUCGAAGCUACGCGAAGAACCUUACCAGGUCUUGACAUCUUGCGCUAACCUUAGAGAUAAGGCGUUCCCUUCGGGGACGCAAUGACAGGUGGUGCAUGGUCGUCGUCAGCUCGUGUCGUGAGAUGUUGGGUUAAGUCCCGCAACGAGCGCAACCCUUGUUACUAGUUGCCAGCAUUAAGUUGGGCACUCUAGUGAGACUGCCGGUGACAAACCGGAGGAAGGUGGGGACGACGUCAGAUCAUCAUGCCCCUUAUGACCUGGGCUACACACGUGCUACAAUGGACGGUACAACGAGUCGCAAGCUCGCGAGAGUAAGCUAAUCUCUUAAAGCCGUUCUCAGUUCGGACUGUAGGCUGCAACUCGCCUACACGAAGUCGGAAUCGCUAGUAAUCGCGGAUCAGCAUGCCGCGGUGAAUACGUUCCCGGGCCUUGUACACACCCCCCAUCAGGCCAUGGGUAGUUUGUAACCCCCAAAGUCGGGUCCUUACCUUUAUGGAGGGAACCCCGGCUA